rnacentral:tRNA from 1 species
GGGGAUAUAACUCAUGGUUAGAGUGCUUGCUUAGCACACAUGAGGUCUUGGGUUCAAAUCCCAGCACUGCCA